CCAACGCCUCUAUAUCGAGUCCUUUCCCUGCACUACAAGAGCUAUACGCAGUCGCUUUCAAAGUUAGCAUUUUGAAAACUUUUAUAGCAGGGUAAGUUUGUGAGAAACUUUGUGUAAUUUGUUAGAAUUUUACAUAUAUACUGGUUUGUUUGAUAACGUUUUCAGUAUAUACGCAAGAAAACGGGCGUCUGAAGCAAAAGUUACGCCUUUCAGCUGCUAUGCCGCGGAUUUGUACGUUUUACAUGUAUGGUGAUUUGUGGCAUAGUGAUGUUAUAUAGAGUAUAGAUAUAUGUGGACCUGCAGUUAGGCAAUUUCUGGUUGCAAUCGUACCGCGGGCCAAAGCGCAAUUCAUAUACAACGAUUGCUUUAUAAAGUGCAUCAACAUGAUCGAGGAAUGUGUGUCUAAAAUAUUUUAAGAAAGUAGCCACAUAUGCCGUAGUUUUAGAUAAAACUGUAAUCUUGCCAUGUAACCAAAAUUGUCUUCGGUCUAAAGCUAAUCACUGUGUAUAUGCUAUAUUUACGUAAAGUUCUAAGCGUUGAUAUAGCAGAAUUAAUGAAGUAUAAAUAUAGGACCGCCGCCGUAAGGUAUAGCGCGUUCUAGAUAUAGAUAGAUAGGUAGUUUGUUAUGAUAAAAAGAGCUUUCUUGUUCUUAAAAACCAUUUUUCAGUUGUCCAGAAAAUAGUCUAACUGAUGAAGUAAACCGCCCACAUGCAUCAUGGCCGGCGCGUUGGCUGUUUGGGUUGACAAACAAGUUCAAAGCGAAAGUGUCAACUGUAAAAAGCCAUAGUUUUGUUAUGGAGUAAAAGGAUGGACAGAUAGGUAGUUUAUUAUUAUAAAAGAACUUCAUUAUUGUUAAAAAAAAUUUUUGUCCCAGUUAGAGUAGUCAAACUCAUGAAGUAGACCGAUCAUGCAUAUCAUGGGUAUAUUGCAUGCAUUAGCUGUUUGGGCCGCUUGAAAAGUUCAAAGGCGA